ACAAAUGUUUCAAGAAUGUAAAAAUUUAAAAGUACCUCCUGUGCAUUUUGUAAAUGUGAUUGGCAGGUUAUUCACCAAUUAAACCUCAAUUUCUAAAGCCAAACUGCUGAUGUAGAAGAUGCUGACAGAAGUGAAAAAAAAUUUCUAAUAUGCAUUCACUCCCCACGUCGCCUCAGAGCUCAGGAUCUGAUUGAUACAGACACCUUUAGACUGAGAGGUGCUUGUCGGAUCAAAGAGUGGUUUGGGUUGGAAAGGAUCUUAAAGACCACCUUGCUCCAGAUCCCUGCCAUGGGCAGGCACACCUUCCUCUACACCAGGUUGCUCAAAGCCCCAUCCAAACCUGGCUUGUUCAUUUUCAGACAGAUGCUGUCAGUGGAUGUGUCUGCUUGGCCAGGCAGUGCUGUGCAUCCAGCUGUCCCGGUGUCCAUGAUUGUGCCCUCAGGCAUCCCCCUAACUCCAGACCAUCACAAGAGCCAGGUGGCAUGGGACAUAGGAAUUAUUUGAAAGGACUUGGGAGUGGACUCAAGGACUGGUAUAGUGGAAUUAAUCAUAUCUGUGCAAAAGGAACGACCAAUUUUCUCUCAACUUCUUUUUAACCAGUCCCUGUCCAUAGCGCUGUGACUUGCUCCUGCAAUGUGUCAACCAAGAUUUCCAUCAGAUUGUUACCUAGGAGGAGUGAUCAGAGACGUUGGGAUAAAGAAUGAAGAUCUUGGGAAGCAAUGAAUUUAGCUAUUACUGAACACCAGAUCCAUAUAGCAACAUCUAAGCAAUCUUAUCUCACUGCAAGAGAGUCUCUGCAAUGGCAGAUGCCAGAACAACAGCGGCUUCUUUCAUUAAGAAUUUGGCCAAAGGACUUGUACAAAACCCAUAUUUUGGCUCUCUAUGUUAUAUGGCUCGGCUGGCUGGAAUGAAAGUGAAGAUGACAGACAGGAUAUUGGUCUCUGGAAAGAGAAGACCUUAUUGUAAGAUUGGAUGUUGCAUGAUCUCCACCACUGUGAAGAAGGUUAGAGCUGGUUAUGGCAAAUAAAUUAGCUCCCUUCCACCAUCUGGUUUGGUUUCUUUGCUAGAGAGAAGGUUAGAGUUAGACCACAGGAGUCUAAAGAACAAUGAGAAGUUUUUUCCCUGUGUUUUGGAUUACUCUAAGAGUUUUUGAGGAACACAAAGGCCCUUUCAUACAGUAUUUCACAUCCACUUUUCCAGAAGAAGGAGGUCCUCUUAACUAAAGUCAAGCUGACAGCUAGCAUUAGCAUUUGGGAUCUAACAAUUUAAAAUUUUGGCUGAAUGGCAUUUCAGAGUUCAAAUGAAAGUAGAUGCUUCUGAUGAGCAGUAUUUUAAUAGGUUUACUACUCACAAUGGAUCCUUGGGAUAGAAUGAAUUUGAAAGUAGGAGUUAGGGCUUGGAUUUUUAAAUCUAAAAAAUGAAAGAGUUCCUUUUUUUGCUGUGUGCUAGGUGGGUCUGACUGAUGGCAAGAAGGCAGGUGCCACAUUCAGUAUUCACUGUUUCAAAAAAGAUUGAUUCCCUUAACUAGAAAGGAAAGGUUAAAGUUAACGAAUGGUGUCAGAAUUUGCUAAUCCAGAGGGACAAAACUGUAGGUCUGUAGAGUUAGGCAAAAAUUUUGUGUCAGCUCUAGGCAGUAUGAGAUGAAUUUUUUCAUUGCUGGGGUAGCUCCCCUGUACUUAAUUACACUAAGAUUUAGAACAAAGCAAUAUAAAAUAUAAAAUACACUCUUUGUUGAAUGAUAAUGGGCCUGAGAGUGGGAAGAGGUAAGGUAUUUCUUAAGUGCCAUACCUUAUGUACAUAUUUUCUGAGGAGAUGGAACCCUGGGCUAUAAUUAAGGUUAGAGUUAGGGCUACUGGUUGUAUCUCAAAAGCAGAGAUCCUGACUUAAUACUCAGUGCUGCAUGUCCCAUGGUGAAGAACUUCACUGCUGCUGUCAUUUGGGGCUGAUUAUUUAUGCUUCCUUUCACUGCUCAGGUAGUUCUGGUAGCUAUAAUGAAGGCAAGAGCUGGUUAAAGAUUCAAAACUCACAGGCUGAAGAAAUUAUCUCCUUGAACUCUGUGAGCUACAGAGAUUUUGUUGUGUAUUCCACAGAGCUGCUAUACUAAACACAUCUUGUUUCAGCAAGAGUCGCCAUACCAAGUUUGCCCACUAUAUUAAAUCUCAUAUUUAAGGCUGAAUGCAUGGAUAUAAUUCUAGAAUUAGUUAAAAGUUUAAAUAACAAGGCAGAUGUAAGAAAUUGCUCUCAAAAUAAGGAAUUAAAGUCAACUGACUUCUUUUUAGCUUUGAGAUGUCUCUGAGCAAAGGAAAGUUUUUGGAGAAAAAUGUUUCUCAAGUUAUUGCCAAACACGGUUGAGUACUGCUGUUUUCUUGGGUUUCUUGCAAGUUAUUAAGUCUUGUUCAGGUAGGAGCUUCUUAGCUAGAUAUACAUCAAGCCUUUGUUUUAAUUUUGAUUUUAGAGCAAGCAGGUAAUUAUGGUUUCAGGGUUUGUACCAGCUUUCAGCCUCUGCUUAAUACUAAGGAAAAAGAACAAAUCAUUCUGAGGAUUGAGAGUAUGCUGUAACCUGCAGGUCUAGAGGAAUGCACUCAAGUUUAUGGUAUUGUAAUGUUUAAUAGAUUUUAUUCAAAACUGAUAAACUUCUCAUGUUUAUUUGCUUAAUUUAUAUGACACAUGAAAAUACAUUAGUAAGAAAUUAAGGUUUUAUGUAUGUUGAUUUUUAUAAACAACUUCCAAACCACAUUGCCGUUACGAGUAAGUUUUUCUUUACAAUUAAGGUUUUACCAUAUUUAACCUGAGAAUAUCUGAAAACGAACAUGAAGGAAUAAUCAAAUAUUUUCAAAAUCUACUAAUCCUGUCUAUGCCUUCAUCACCAACCUUCCACACAGAGCACACCCAACAAACCACAGAGGAAAGAAGAAAAAAGAAACAUCUCAGUUAAUCUGAAUUUAUGAUCUAUAGAUAUGUCAGUCUUUCAGAAGAGAAAGAAUUGAUGUCACAUGCAGUGAUGAUGUCACAGAAAAUAUGUUUGCCUUCUGUAACUGGGGAGAUUUACAUCUAGCUUCACUCCUGAGUGAUCUUCAGUAAAGAUAAGUUUAGGAACUGAUCUUCAUGUUGUUUUGGAGAAGUUAGUUCCAAAAAACCUGUUUUACUGAGGUCUCAAAAUGAUAAUAUUUGUUUUAUUUGGGUUGCUUUUGAACAAAAUUGUAAGGGUAGCUGGAAGACAGGACACAACCUGCUGAGAUGCAACCAAGACAAUGUUCUACAGAAAAGCAUUUGCACAGAUAUAUAUUAAACACACAAACAAACACAAUAUCAGACCUCUUUUGUUAUCUCCUGAUCUUAUUAAUGAGAAUUGAACCAUGGGCACACUAGGGCAAAGGAACCAUCUGUUGUAAUUGAGGCUCUGGUUUCAGAAAGAAAGUAAACAAGGAAAGAAAAACCUGUAGGGCUCAUACCAGACUUGAUCACAUUUCUACAGGCUUCAGAUGACUGAUUUCAUCAUUCUCUAAAAGCUGUUUUAUUGGUGAAAUUGCACCACAGGCAAUAAGGAAGAUCUAUGCUGCAUUUGCAAGUGAAAUGAAUGGGCACAAAGCAUGCUACACUUUUAUCUUUGCAAUUCAUCAUAUUAAAACUAAUCAUGGCAGGUGUAAUUAUGUGAGCACCAAAAAUAAAUUAGUAAGCAAAUAAAUAAAUAGCUCUCAAAUUUUCAUAACCGUUCUGCUUUUCUUAAGCAUAAUAAAUCUAUGGGUUGGAGGGGAGGUUGCAAUCUUCAGUACAGCAGAAGAUAUUUUGGAAGAAAAUGCUCGUUAGGAAACCUGCUAAGAUUCUCUCUUACUACAGAGAGAAAGGAUAAGAAUGGAUGAAAGAAGAGAUGAGGGGGGAAGGAAGGAAGGAAGGAAGGAAGGAAGGAAGGAAGGAAGGAAGGAAGGAAGGAAGGAAGGAAGGAAGGAAGGAAGGAAGGAAGGAAGGAAGGAAGGAAGGAAGGAAGGAAGGAAGGAAGGAAGGAAGGAAGGAAGGAA